UUAAAGGGUUCGUAGUUGAAUUGUGGAGUAUGGCCACGGGAUUCAGUCCUUUUCCCACGGUCUAGGAACGUCCCGACCAUACUCCGAGAACGUCAGAAACUAAGAUCACGGAAGCGUUUUUUACAAACUGCCACCGACUACGCGAGCAAUGUUCGCUGGUGGACGUCCGUGUUUUUUACUGUGACUAAAGAAGUGCGACCAAGGCAGUCCAUCGACAUGAAUUAGAAAGCAUGGGAUAACAAAGCAGCAGCCUAUGAGCUACCGUUUAGGCUUUUGUUGGUUUUAAAGGUUCGUGGGAGAUUACGGGCGUGUAGGACCGGCGUUGGGGGUUUUCCAAAAUCCCCGCGUCUCCUCCUGGCAUCGGAAACGGUGCUUGCGGGGCCUGCUUCGCUCAGGAAUGAAGGAGGGUUGCUCGGGGGAAAACGUACUUGGGCGUGAGAGG
rnacentral:rRNA from 1 species